rnacentral:lncRNA from 10 species
CAGGCUGGCUUGGCACUCCUGGGCUCAAGCAAUCUUCCUACCUCAGCCUCCCAAGUAGCUGGGACUACAGACGCACCACACCUAGCUACCGCCACGCUCAGCUGUUUUUACACUUUUUUUUUUUUUUUUUUUUUUUGAGACGGAGUUUUGCUCUUGUUGCCCAGGCUGGAGUGCAAUGGCACGAGCCUCUGCCUCCCGGGUUCAAGCCAUUCUCCUGCCUCAGCCUCCCGAGUAGCUGGAAUUACAGGCGCCCACCACCAUGCCCUGCUAAUUUUUGUCUUUUUAGUGCACAGGGUCUCGCCAUGUUAGCUAGGCUGGUCUUGAACUCCUGACCUCAGGUGAUCCACCUGCCCCGGCCUCCCAAAGUGUUGGGGAUUACAGGCGUGAGCCACCGUGCCUGGCCAGCUGUUUUUACACUUUUAAAUGGUUGAAAAAAAAUUAGCUGGACGUGGUGUGCACACCUGGCUAAUUUUUGCUUUUUUUUUUUUUUUUUUUUUUUUUUGAGACGGAGUCUCGCUCUGUCGCCCAGGCUGGAGUGCAGUGGCGCGAUCUCGGCUCACUGCAAGCUCCACCUUCCAGGUUCACGCCAUUCUCCUGCCUCAGACUCCCGAGUAGCUGGGAUUACAGACGCCUGCCACCACGCCUGGAUAAUUUUUGUAUUUUUCGUAGAGAUGGGGUUUCACCAUAUUGGCCAGGCUCGUCUCGAACUCCUGACCUCAGGUGAUCCGCCCGCCUCAGCCUCCCAAAGUGCUGGGAUUACAGGCGUGAGCCACCAUGUCUGGCCCUUUAAUGAUAUUUUGUACUUGUUUACUCACUGACCAUCUCAGGGAUUACCCUGACCUACUACCCAUUUUUGUAUGGCCUGCUAGCUAAGACAGGUUUUCACAUAUUUAUUUAUUUAUUUUUAUUACUAUUUUUGAGAAAGUGUCUUCCUCAAAAGGAAGUGCAGUAGCACAAUCACAGCUCACUGCAGCCUCAAAUACCUGGGCUCAAGGAUCCUCCCACCUCAGCCUCCUGAGCAGCUGGGACUACAAGCACAUGCCACCACGUCCAGCUGUUUUUACAUUUUUAAAUGGUUGGAAAAAAAAAUCAAUAUCUGUAGUCCCAGCUACUCAGGCGUCUGAGGUGAGAGCAUCCCUUGAGCACAGGAGGUCAAGGCUGCAAUGAGCCAUGAUUGUGCCAAUGUACUCCAGCUUGGGUGACAGUGAGACCCUGUCUAAAACCAAAACAAAACAAAAAACAAAGAAAACAAAAGAAUCGUAUUUCCUAACCCGUGAAAACUAAAAGCAUAUGAAAUUUAAAUUUCGGUAGGCCAGGCGUGGUGGCUCACGCCUGUAAUCCCAACACUUUGGGAGGCCGAGGCGGGCUGAUCACCUGAGAUCAGGAGUUCAAGACCAGCCUGGC